CCUCCUCCUUCUCGUCCUCUUCAGUCAGCCCCGUCUCUGCAUCGUCAUCGUCAUCGUCCUGUUUGUUCUGCAGGAACCAACCAGAGAGAGGACGAGGAGCUUAGAGAACAUCUGCAGCUUCUGGAGCAGCACAACGCAGGACGAGCAGCACUUCUUGCAGAUGCAGAAGCAGCAGGUGAGGAGCAGAAGGCCAGCAACCACGGCAAUGGCUAUGACAGCCCAGGGUGGCACUGUGCAAAGAGGGAAAAGAGAGGGGGGAGUGUUACCCUGAAUGAAGGGCAUAUACGAGGUCCUUCCACCUCAGUCGAGUUGUCAGCCACAGUAGACAUGACCGGAGGAGGCAUGGUCACUGUGUUGUUUUUGGGGGCCAC